UAUAAGAUGGAGUAUUAACAACAGUAGGAUGCAAGUCAAUGGGUUUGUCUAUUGGUCCAAUUACAAGCAAUCACACUUGAGGAGAUUGAACAUGGCAACAUUUGAAUUCUCCAUGUGUGACCUACCAGCGAAAUUGAAACAGGAGACUCCUCAAAACUUUCAGGUUGGAGAGGCCAUGGACGGAGUGCUUUUUAUUGUGUGUGCAUUUGAAUUCCAAGUUGUCAUUUGGUUCCGUGAAGCAGGUAAUAAUGGGGUUGAGAAAUGGGUGUUGGACAGGGUAGUCCCUAUGGAAGCAGAGGUUGGUCGAAUCACUGGCCGAUCAGAACGUGAUCGUCAUGGCCUGAAUGUUUUGGCAGUUAGAGAUGGUUUUGCAUACUUGACAACAAUGGCGAAAUCCAAAUAUUGAUGGCUUCCUUUAUUCCUUUCCCUCUGCCUUGACACCAUGAAGCUUGAGAAGCUCUUUCAGAAGGAAUAUGACUGCCCUAUUCAUCUGUAUUUCAUGGCAUGGCCCCCUUCUCUGACAGGUAAUGGUGGGAACUUUGGGCCUGAAGAGGCUCCAUGAAAUGCUUACCAGGUAUCAUUGUACUUAUGAGAGAAAGGAUGAUAUUAACAAUAUGCCAUGCACAUGUAUGCACAUAUGUGGGUUAGUGCAGAUAUGUGUGCUUAUAUGUUUCGAACUAUUUUGUGAUCAACAUAUCAUACAACUGGAUGCUAUUGACAUAAUUACAUCAGCACUUCAGUUCUUUCUCCUUACGGUCGACUGGUUCAUACACUUGAUGCAUUUUAUUUUUAUCUUUGAUGGUCCAGUGAUGUUUAUCUAGUGUCGGUGGUUAACUAUCUUUGUGUUGUCAUUUUUUUGAUCUUCUAAUUUUGUUCUGUGCAUGGUGAAUUUGUCCCGCAUAUUUGUCAAACUGUUAGGUUCUCAAAGGUAUCCAUCACAUGAUUGUUUUGAGAGUCUUUUGUGUUGUGCCUCAAUCAUGUAGGAUUAGUACAACAAUAGCGAUUGAGCUAUCACUGGAGACAGCGAAACUGAUGGCUACACUGCAGGGUACUCCGCUCAUUUUUUUUUAUUGUGAGAGCAGUCUUCCCCCACUCUGAAGCGUGUGCCGUUACUAGUCUCUUGUAGUAUACUCUCCCGUAAAGCUUUGUUCUCUGGAAAAGACUAAAUACGAGGUGAAAAUGAUCCUUACGUUGCAAACUUCGCAGAAUUCAUGUUUACUUUUUUUUUCUAAAAGUCAUACGAAAUACCAUAUGUUUGAGGUGUGAUAUUCUGUGAGUGUGCAAAACUUCGAGUCCAAACUUUGUUGUAUUUGAAAGAAACUAAAAAGUACCCCCUACGAUCCAUCAUAAGUGUCGGAGAUUUAGUAUAAUAUCAAACAGGAAGAACCAUUAUUCAUGUUGAUCUUUUAUUUUUGUUCUGAUGUCAAUGCAAUUGUGUCUGCAUUUGAAAUUUUCCACACCACUGCCUCCUCAAUACUCCUAUAUGCUAUAUUUUCAUGAAUUUUUUGAAAUGUUUAAAGUAGGUUUUAGUACCAUCUAGGUGGUUUUCACCUUCCUUUAUAAUGAUUCCAUGGAUUUCACCUGUGUUUUUGUGCCACUCCAUAAUGCUAACACAGCAUGGAACUAGAACCGGGGUGUUCGGUGCAAGCCUAUCUCCAGGCUCCAGCGCGCCGUUGGAUCAAGGAGUCCAUGAGCAGAUUAUCAGCUACGGGCCUACGGCUACACCCUACACAAACAAAUGGAUGCAACAUGGACGCUGUAGACGAAGAAUCAAGCAGGGUGAGGGAGGAACUGAGGAGACAGCUUCACUGUACGCUACUGCAACCUCUGUCUGUUCAUUCUUCUUGGUUGGAAAUGUCAGAAAUGCUGGUUGUUGUAUGUCACCACAACUGGAACCAAGAAGUUUGAAUCUGAAUUCGGUCUAUAUGUGUAGUUUAGCAAUACAAAUUCCGUUCAAAAGAAAGUUACAAGUCAGAAAGAACCAAGGAUAUAAAGGUACAAGUGCUAGUACAGGGAAAUUUAUCUUCUUAUUUUUUUUUACACCCAAGCUGAAUUUCUCAGCACCAUAUUGAUUGUCUCAUGUCCUAUUCAACCAAAGCUUUGGGAAUUUUCGAUAAACAUUCAUCAUCGUUUGAAAAAGAAUGCCUGACAGUACCCAAAGUGUGGGACAUAUCGCA